CCCUUGUAAUGCUGUAAUGCUUGUUUUUUUUAUCUAAAGAUGUAGUAAGUUUCAUAGAAUUGGAUGAAAAAACAAGCAUUACAGCAUUACAUGGGCUAGAACCCAAAACAAAGGUUUAAAACCAAGGCUGACCAGCGGGCACAUAUCAUUGGAACCCAAGCCUAAACAUAACCAAACCCAAGACUCUAAAUCAUAAACCUGUAUGUACCUAGAUCACCAAAGUUCAAUCCGAAGAAAAGUUAACCCUAGCAAGGCAAGAGAAAGCAAAACGCCAAGUAGCGUCGCCUUUAAUGCCUAUGAAUUGCCAUCGAGGAUCUACGAAUUGUGGGAAGCACAGGGUCUACAUAAGGCAUAGCCUGAAUAAAGUGUCCCCAAUAAUCAUUCCGAUGACAUGAAAACACUUAAGAUAGGAUUCAAAGAUACACAAGCAAGAAUCGAAAGCCAUGGGAGCAGGGGAAGUAGACUUGGCAGAGUUUUGGCGUGCAUUUCAUCUUGCCAUAGAGGACCGGAAGACCAAAUUUAUGGUUUCAAUAUGUCCCCGAGAAUACCAGCCUCAUAGGAGUAUUUCACUUCUGCCUGCAAAGAACCAACCAGCACAAACAGAGUAAGAAACAAUAAGAAACCACAGGAAGAAGCAUAUCACAAAGGCCACCUAUUCAAACCCUCUCCCUUUUUAAAAACAAAUUUGUGACCCAAAACAAAAAACCAAAACUUUAUCUACAGUCCCUCAAGGGGAGGGUUACACCCACAACCCAGAUAGAAAGUAGAGACAACCCCCCGCCGCCCGCGGCGGGCGCGCCACAC
rnacentral:misc_RNA from 1 species